GAUUAGAGUUUGAUCCUGGCUCAGAUUGAACGCUGGCGGCAGGCCUAACACAUGCAAGUCGAGCGGAUGACAGGAGCUUGCUCCUGAAUUCAGCGGCGGACGGGUGAGUAAUGCCUAGGAAUCUGCCUGGUAGUGGGGGACAACGUUUCGAAAGGAACGCUAAUACCGCAUACGUCCUACGGGAGAAAGCAGGGGACCUUCGGGCCUUGCGCUAUCAGAUGAGCCUAGGUCGGAUUAGCUAGUUGGUGAGGUAAUGGCUCACCAAGGCGACGAUCCGUAACUGGUCUGAGAGGAUGAUCAGUCACACUGGAACUGAGACACGGUCCAGACUCCUACGGGAGGCAGCAGUGGGGAAUAUUGGACAAUGGGCGAAAGCCUGAUCCAGCCAUGCCGCG
rnacentral:rRNA from 1 species